rnacentral:rRNA from 1 species
GACGAACGCUGGCGGCGUGCUUAACACAUGCAAGUCGAACGGAAAGGCCCUGCUUUUGUGGGGUGCUCGAGUGGCGAACGGGUGAGUAACACGUGAGUAACCUGCCCUUGACUUUGGGAUAACUUCAGGAAACUGGGGCUAAUACCGGAUAGGAGCUCCGGCUGCAUGGUGGGGGUUGGAAAGUUUCGGCGGUUGGGGAUGGACUCGCGGCUUAUCAGCUUGUUGGUGGGGUAGUGGCUUACCAAGGCUUUGACGGGUAGCCGGCCUGAGAGGGUGACCGGCCACAUUGGGACUGAGAUACGGACCAGACUCCUACGGGAGGCAGCAGUGGGGAAUAUUGCACAAUGGGCGGAAGCCUGAUGCAGCAACGCCGCGUGCGGGAUGAAGGCCUUCGGGUUGUAAACCGCUUUCGCCUGUGACGAAGCGUGAGUGACGGUAAUGGGUAAAGAAGCACCGGCUAACUACGUG